rnacentral:rRNA from 1 species
CGGAGGAAAAGAAACCAACAGGGAUUGCCUUAGUAACGGCGAGUGAAGCGGCAAAAGCUCAAAUUUGAAAUCUGGCACCUUCGGUGUCCGAGUUGUAAUUUGAAGAAGGUAACUUUGGAGUUGGCUCUUGUCUAUGUUCCUUGGAACAGGACGUCACAGAGGGUGAGAAUCCCGUGCGAUGAGAUGCCCAAUUCUAUGUAAAGUGCUUUCGAAGAGUCGAGUUGUUUGGGAAUGCAGCUCUAAGUGGGUGGUAAAUUCCAUCUAAAGCUAAAUAUUGGCGAGAGACCGAUAGCGAACAAGUACAGUGAUGGAAAGAUGAAAAGAACUUUGAAAAGAGAGUGAAAAAGUACGUGAAAUUGUUGAAAGGGAAGGGCUUGAGAUCAGACUUGGUAUUUUGCGAUCCUUUCCUUCUUGGUUGGGUUCCUCGCAGCUUACUGGGCCAGCAUCGGUUUGGAUGGUAGGAUAAUGACUAAGGAAUGUGGCUCUACUUCGGUG